UAGAGAGAGACAUGCGCGCAUAUCAAUAAGCGGAGGAAAAGAAACUAACAAGGAUUCCCCUAGUAACGGCGAGUGAAGCGGGAAGAGCUCAAAUUUGAAAUCUUAAAGGGUUUCCCUUUACGAAUUGUAGUUUAAAGAAGUGUUUUCUGUUGAGGUUUUGGUAAAAGUUCUUUGGAAUAGGACAUCAUAGAGGGUGAGAAUCCCGUAUUUGACCUUUACUUUCAACUUUGUGAUACACUUUCAAAGAGUCGGAUUGUUUGGGAAUGCAGUCCAAAAUGGGUGGUAAAUUUCAUCUAAAGCUAAAUAUUGGCGAGAGACCGAUAGCGAACAAGUACCGUGAGGGAAAGAUGAAAAGAACUUUGAAAAGAGAGUUAAACAGUACGUGAAAUUGUCAAAAGGGAAGCGUUUGACACCAGUGUUGUUUUUCUGAAAAUCAAUUAAAGAACUGUUUAUGCUAAGUUGUUUAGACUUUAUCAGCUAUCUGUUUAGUUUUGAGCUUUUCUUUAAUGCACUUUUCAGUUAACAAGUCAACAUCAAUUUCUUUUGCUGUAAAAAAGCUUGAGGAAGGUGGCUUGAGAUUCGUCUUAAGUGUUUAUAGCCUCUUGCCUAUGCAGUCGGAGAGAUUGAGGUCUGCAGCGUAGAUCCUUCGGGGCUAAAUGCAUUUGUGCUAAGUUAUAGCAUUUUAUAGACAACUUGUUGACUAUGAUUUGUCUUGUAGCUUACUCGCUUAUGUUAUUUUACCUACGCUUAGGAUGUUGAGCGCAUGUCUCUCUCU
rnacentral:rRNA from 1 species